rnacentral:misc_RNA from 1 species
UGUCACCACUGCUGCCAC